rnacentral:lncRNA from 1 species
CUACCGAACUGUAAUCUUUAGCAGAUAGCAAUCGGAUUUAAUUUCCCACCUUCCGGGUGUCAGAAUGUCAUGAAACUUUAAAUCUAGCCUCAUAAAAAUAAUCCUAACAUAUUCCCAGAUUUUCGAAAUUUUUUGACAUUGUGUAUUUUUCGCUAAAAUAACAGCAUCGAUUCACACAGAAAAUUCAAAAUCUUCUAUUCUCGCUCCGAUUUCUGCACGAGUCGAUCUCGACUUAUAUUUUACUUCUAUAAGUCUAAUAAAAAUAGUAUCUCACACUAUUUUUAUGUUUACCCUUAUUUUAAAAUC